AUUGAACGCUGGCGGCAGGCCUAACACAUGCACGUCGCACGAGUGGCGGACGGGUGAGUAAUGUCUGGGAAACUGCCCGAUGGAGGGGGAUAACUACUGGAAACGGUAGCUAAUACCGCAUACCAUCGGAUGUGCCCAGAUGGGAUUAGCUAGUAGGUGGGGUAACGGCUCACCUAGGCUACGAUCCCUAGCUGGUGUGAGAGGAUGACAACCAACACUGGAAAGGAGACACGGUACAGACUCGUACGGGAGGAAGCAUUGGGGAAUAUUGAACAAGGGGGGCAAGCCUGAUGCAGCCAUGCCGCGUGUAUGAAGAAGGCCGUGGGGUUGUAAAGUACUUUCAGCGGGGAGGCGUUACGCGCAGAAGAAGCACCGGCUAACUCCGUGCCAGCAGCCGCGGUAAUUC
rnacentral:rRNA from 1 species